rnacentral:rRNA from 1 species
AGAGCGCACGGCGGAUGCCUUGGCGCCAGAUGCCGAUGAAGGACGUGGCAAGCUGCGAUAAGCUACGGUUAGCUGCAAGCAAGCGUUGACCCGUAGAUUUCCGAAUGGGGAAACCCACCAGAGUGAUCUGGUACUGCUGCAUGAACACAUAGUGCAGUAGAGGGAACCCGGUGAACUGAAACAUCUAAGUAACCGGAGGAAGAGAAAACAAACGUGAUUUCCUAAGUAGCGGCGAGCGAACGGGAAAGAGUCCAAACCAUAUUAGUGUCAAGCGGUACGGCGUUGCUAAUAUGGGGUUGUGGGAGUUACCAGUUGCAGCGUACUCUGCAGCAGGGGAAGUGAAGGCUAGCGGAACUGCCUGGAAAGGCAGGCCAUAGAGAGUGACAGCCUCGUACGUGAAAGCCGUAAGCACCCCGGUAACCACCCGAGUACUAUGGGACACGUGCAAUCCCAUAGGAAGCUGGGAAGACCACUUUCCAAGACUAAAUACACGCUGGCGACCGAUAGUGAAAUAGUACCGUGAGGGAAAGGUGAAAAGCACCCCGGGAGGGGAGUGAAAUAGUACCUGAAACCGUGUGCUUACAAACAGUUGGAGGGCGUUAAAGCCUGACAGCGUACUUUUUGUAGAACGGACCGGCGAGUUUCUGUAUGCAGCGAGGUUAAGGUGUUAAGCACCAGAGCCGUAGCGAAAGCGAGUCUGAAUAGGGCGGUAAGUUGCAUAUAGAAGACCCGAAACCGGGUGAUCUACCCAUGGCCAGGGUGAAGCGCGAGUAAAACCGCGUGGAGGCCCGAACCUUUUAGCGUUGAAAAGCUAUAGGAUGAGCUGUGGGUAGGAGUGAAAAGCUAAUCGAACUCGGAUAUAGCUGGUUCUCCCCGAAAUAGCUUUAGGGCUAGCCUCAAAGUAAGAGUAUCGGAGGUAGAGCACUGAUCGGGCUAGGGGCCUAACGGUUACCGAACCCUUUCAAACUCCGAAUGCCGAUAUGAGAUCUUUGGGAGUCAGUCUGCGUGGGAUAAGCCGCGCAGACAAGAGGGAAACAGCCCAGACCGUCGGCUAAGGUCCCCAAGUUCAGACUAAGUGGUAAAGGAUGUGGAAUUGCACAGACAACCAGGAUGUUGGCUUAGAAGCAGCCAUACAUUUAAAGAGUGCGUAAUAGCUCACUGGUCGAGUGGUUCUGCGCCGAAAAUGUAACGGGGCUCAAGUCUGACACCGAAGCCACGGAACACGGAUGUGUUGGUAGGGGAGCGUUGUCUGCGCGCAGAAGCUGUACCGUAAGGAGCAGUGGAGUGCAGACAAGUGAGAAUGCCGGUAUGAGUAGCGAAAAGAAGGGUGAGAAUCCCUUCCGCCGAAAGCCUAAGGUUUCCUGAGGAAGGAUCGUCCGCUCAGGGUAAGUCGGGACCUAAGGCGAGGCCGAAAGGCGUAGUCGAUGGACAACAGGUUGAUAUUCCUGUACCAUUCUUAUGCGUUUGAGUGAAGUGGUGACGCAGGAGGAUAGGCUGAGCGCGGUUUGGUAGUCCGCGUCCAAGGAGUUAGGGAGUGAGGCAGGCAAAUCCGUCUCACACAAUCCUGAGCUCUGAUGGGGAGGCGUAAGCCGAAGCAGCUGAUUCCAUGCUGCCGAGAAAAGCCGCUAGCGAGUAUAAGAAUGCCCGUACUAAAACCGCCACAGGUAGGCGAGGAGAGAAUCCUAAGGCGCGCGAGAGAACCCUUGUUAAGGAACUCGGCAAAAUGACUCCGUAACUUCGGGAGAAGGAGUGCCCCGUUAGGGUGAAUAGCCCGAGGGGGCCGCAGAGAAUUGGCCCAAGCGACUGUUUACCAAAAACACAGGUCUCUGCUAAGUGGGAACACGAAGUAUAGGGGCUGACACCUGCCCAAUGCCGGAAGGUUAAGGGGAUGCGUUAGCGCAAGCGAAGCGUUGAACCGAAGCCCCGGUCAAUGGCGGCCGUAACUAUAACGGUCCUAAGGUAGCGAAAUUCCUUGUCGGGUAAGUUCCGACCCGCACGAAAGGUGUAACGACUUGGGCGCUGUCUCAACAGGGGACUCGGCGAAAUUGUAGUGCCUGUGAAGAUGCAGGCUACCCGCGACUAGACGGAAAGACCCCAUGGAGCUUUACUGUAGCUUGUUAUUGGGCUUUGCUGCCAGAUGUACAGGAUAGGUGGGAGGCUGAGAAGUAUGGACGCCAGUUCGUACGGAGCCGUCGGUGGGAUACCACUCUUUUGGUAGCGAGGUUCUAACUUACAGCCGUGAAUCCGGCGUGAGGACAGUGACAGGUGGGCAGUUUGACUGGGGCGGUCGCCUCCUAAAAGGUAACGGAGGCGCCCAAAGGAGUUUGACUGGGGCGGUCGCCUCCUAAAAGGUAACGGAGGCGCCCAAAGGUUUCCUCAGCACGGUCGGAAAUCGUGCAUUGAGUGUAAAGGCAGAAGGAAGCUUAACUGCGAGACCAACAAGUCGAGCAGAGACGAAAGUCGGGCUUAGUGAUCCGGUGGCUCUGCGUGGGAGGGCCAUCGCUCAACGGAUAAAAGCUACC